CCUACGGGAGGCAGCAGUAAGGAAUAUUGGUCAAUGGACGAAAGUCUGAACCAGCCAUGCCGCGUGAAGGAUGAAGGCCCUCUGGGUUGUAAACUUCUUUUAUCUGGGACGAAAAAAGGGAAUUCUUUCCCACUUGACGGUACCAGAGGAAUAAGCACCGGCUAACUCCGUGCCAGCAGCCGCGGUAAUACGGAGGGUGCAAGCGUUAUCCGGAUUUACUGGGUUUAAAGGGUGCGUAGGUGGGUAGGUAAGUCAGUGGUGAAAUCUCCGAGCUUAACUCGGAAACUGCCAUUGAUACUAUCUAUCUUGAAUAUCCUGGAGGUGAGCGGAAUAUGUCAUGUAGCGGUGAAAUGCUUAGAUAUGACAUAGAACACCAAUUGCGAAGGCAGCUCACUACGGGAUUAUUGACACUGAGGCACGAAAGCGUGGGGAUCAAACAGGAUUAGAUACCCUGGUAGUCCACGCCUAAACGANAGAUACUACGACAUACGCGACUACACUGUGUGUGUCUGAGACGAAGACGAUUAAGUAAGUACCACCGUACGGAAGGUAACGUAAGUCGCGAAGAAGUUAGUUAAACGUUAACGAAAGGAAGUUAGACGGCGUUAGAGACGNGCGACGGACGACGACGAGGGAGGAGG
rnacentral:rRNA from 1 species